rnacentral:rRNA from 1 species
CCAACCUCGCCCCAUGCUCCAGAAUAGCUCUUGGAAACGGGUGGUAAUGCUGGAUGCUCCAACUUGACGCAUGUCUUGUUGGGAAAGUGUUUAGUGGCAUGGGAUGGGGUCGCGUCCUAUCAGCUUGUAGGCGGGGUAAUGGCCCACCUAGGCUUCGACGGGUAGCCGGCCUGAGAGGGCGGACGGCCACAUUGGGACUGAGAUACGGCCCAGACUCCUACGGGAGGCAGCAGCG